rnacentral:lncRNA from 10 species
CUCGGCUCACUGCAACCUCCCACUCCCGGGUUCAAGCGAUUCUCCUGUCUCGGCCUCCUGAGUAGCUGGGAUUACAGGCGCCGACCACUACACCCAGGUAGUCCUGCAGAGAGAGAAGACCACGAGAAGCAAAAAGCAGCAAGAUGACUGGAAAGAUUCAGGAAUUGGGAGCAGUGAAUAACUCAAAGUGCAGUGGAGGUUGGUGCUGAACAUCAGCAUUAGCUGACAAUUUGUAAAAGAAGCAGUUCCUGGCCAGGUGCCAUGGCUCACGCCUAUAAUCUCAGCACUUUGGGAGACCAAGGAGGGUGUAUCACGAGGUCAAGAGAUCGAGACCAUCCUGGCUAACACAGUGAAACCCUGUCUCUACGAAAAAGAACACAAAAAAUUAGCCAGGUGUG